UGGCCUCGACUUUGAUUUAUCCCUCUGGAGGAGUUUGAAGGUGCACAUCCACAGUGAGAGCCUGUGGACGGGAGGAUUUGACUGAGCCAGGCGUAUUUGAUGCUGUCACCCUUUGGUCCACAUGGCUGUUGCUAAGCAACAGUUAACGCUUAUUGUCCAUGUAAUGUUUGCAGACAAUUCCACAGCUGCAUUUUUUCUUUUCUUUUCAUUCGCAAGCCCUGCGGUGUAACCAAACAGGACAGCACAAAAAAAAGCAGAAAAGGAGGAGAACAAUCGAGUGAGCUGUAAUACAUGAUUGAUGGACAGUGUCAACAGAUUCAGAGAUGGCUUUGCUUCAUACCAUGGUAUGGAGAGAAGUAAUGAUACCUCCACUAAAAGACAACUUCACCUGCUGCAGCCCCUGGUCAUCCCCCCUCCUGCCCUCACCAGAGAAAGAUUGGAGGUGAUGUCAAACACCACGGGCCAUAAAUAAACCUAAAGAGGACAAAGCCUUAAUGACAGCAGGGAGACGAGAGUGAAUGACUGCCAACAAAGGGCCUGCAAAAAGUUUAGCCACCUGUAAUUGUGAUGGAGCACAGAGGACUGCUGUUGUUUAUGUCUGUCAGAGACAAUAAUUUGGUUCACCUUC
ensembl:lncRNA